rnacentral:rRNA from 1 species
CCCUUAGAUGUUCUGGGCCGCACGCGAGCUACACUGAGUGGAUCAGCGGGUCAGGUUGCGCGAAAGUGUUUCCUAAUCUUUAAAUCCGCUCGUGAUGGGGAUUGACGGUUGCAAUUUUCCGUCAUGAACGAGGAAUACCUUGUAAGCGCGGGUCAUCAUCCCGCGCUGAAUACGUCCCUGCCCUUUGUACACACCGCCCGUCGCUCCUACCGAUUGAGUGGUCCGGUGAGGCUUUGGGAUCUGAGCGGAAAGAGCGUUUCGCUGUUUCUGCCCGGAAAACUCAGUCGAACCUUAUCAUUUAGAGGAAGGAGAAGUCGUAACA